CGUAUAUUAAAGUUGUUGCAGUUAAAAAGCUCGUAGUUGGAUUUGUGGUGUGUCCUGUCGGGUGGUUGACUUUGUCGACGUAUCUGUACGGGUCUGCCUUUUAUGGGAUUGUUGGCUUUGUGGCAUUAGGUUGUCGCAUUGUCGGUGCCCAUCUUUUACUGUGAAAAAAUUAGAGUGUUCAAAGCAGGCUUAUGCCGUUGAAUAUAUUAGCAUGGAAUAAUGAUAUAGGACCUUGGUACUAUUUUGUUGGUUUGCGCACUGAGGUAAUGAUUAAUAGGGACAGUUGGGGG
rnacentral:rRNA from 1 species